rnacentral:tRNA from 1 species
AUUCAUUUAGUUUACUAAAAAAUAUUUUAUUUUCAUUAAAAAGAAGUCAUUACAAUGAAUU